rnacentral:piRNA from 1 species
UACAGGCGCACACCACGGUGUCUGGCUAA